rnacentral:rRNA from 1 species
ACGGAAGGCAGCAGUGGGGAAUAUUGCACAAUGGGGGAAACCCUGAUGCAGCGACGCCGCGUGAGUGAUGAAGUAUUUCGGUAUGUAAAGCUCUAUCAGCAGGGAAGAAAAUGACGGUACCUGACUAAGAAGCCCCGGCUAACUACGUGCCAGCAGCCGCGGUAAUACGUAGGGGGCAAGCGUUAUCCGGAUUUACUGGGUGUAAAGGGAGCGUAGACGGUUGUGCAAGUCUGAAGUGAAAGGCGGGGGCUUAACCCCCGGACUGCUUUGGAAACUGUACGGCUUGAGUACCGGAGGGGUAAGCGGAAUUCCUAGUGUAGCGGUGAAAUGCGUAGAUAUUAGGAGGAACACCAGUGGCGAAGGCGGAUUGCUGGACGACAACUGACGGUGAGGCGCGAAAGCGUGGGGAGCAAACAGGAUUAGAUACCCUGGUA